CAAAACAUCAUCUUCCUCAUCCAUACGCGUAUUGCCUAGUGCCAUACGCGUACCAUGCCAUCUCAUACGCGUAUUGCCUAGUGCCAUACGCGUAUGACCAGAAACCAGAAUUUCCAGAUCUGCAAUGGCUUUCUCUGCUACGAGAUCUAUCCGAUUCAACCUUCCACAGUCCAAUUUUACACAAUAAUCGUUCAUAUCAUCUAACACGAAUCAUACCCUAUUCAAUUUCAC
rnacentral:lncRNA from 1 species